rnacentral:rRNA from 1 species
GAUGAACGCUGGCGGCGUGCUUAACACAUGCAAGUCGAACGGAAAGGCCCAAGCUUGCUUGGGUACUCGAGUGGCGAACGGGUGAGUAACACGUGGGUGAUCUGCCCUGCACUUCGGGAUAAGCCUGGGAAACUGGGUCUAAUACCGGAUAGGACCACUUCUUGGAUGUUGUGGGGGAAAGUUUUUUCGGUGUGGGAUGAGCUCGCGGCCUAUCAGCUUGUUGGUGGGGUAAUGGCCUACCAAGGCGUCGACGGGUAGCCGGCCUGAGAGGGUGUACGGCCACAUUGGGACUGAGAUACGGCCCAGACUCCUACGGGAGGCAGCAGUGGGGAAUAUUGCACAAUGGGCGCAAGCCUGAUGCAGCGACGCCGCGUGGGGGAUGACGGCCUUCGGGUUGUAAACUCCUUUCGCUAGGGACGAAGCGUUUUGUGACGGUACCUGGAGAAGAAGCACCGGCUAACUACGUGCCAGCAGCCGCAGUAA